AUCAUAGCUCUGGUAGUGAGCAUAUGCUCAUGCUGGCUCAGCAACUCAUUUGACAUGAAAGCCAGCACAUAGCACUUAAUCCGAUUGUUUUCAUCCAUCCACUUUUCAUAUGCUGUUCUUUGCUUAACAGUAGGAUGGUUUGGUAACACUAGAGGUUCCUAGUCAAGUACAUGGCCUAAUUUUUAGAAGUCAAGACAAUCCUGAAGUUUUUAAGCCAGUCUUUAUAAUUGAUUUCGGUCAAAUGAUUGGACUCAAGGA
rnacentral:lncRNA from 1 species